CCUACGGGAGGCUGCAGUGAGGACUAUUGGUCAAUGGACGAGAGUCUGAACCCGCCAAGUAGCAUGAAGGAUGACUGCCCUAUGGGUUGUAAACUUCUUUUAUAUGGGAAUAACAUGUUCCACGUGUGGGAUUUUGUAUGUACCCUAUGAAUAAGGAUCGGCUAACUCCGUGCCAGCAGCCGCGGUAAUACGGAGGAUCCGUGCGUUAUCCGGCUUUCUGGGGUUUAAAGUGAGAGUAGGUGGAUUGUUAAGUCAGUUGUGAAAGUUUGCGGCUCAACCGUCAAAUUGCAGUUGAAACUGGCAGUCUGGAGUACAGUAGAGGUGGGCGGAAUUCGUGGUGUAGCGGUGAAAUGCUUAGAUAUCACGAAGAACUCCGAUUGCGAAGGCAGCUCACUGGACUGAAACUGACACUGAGGCUCGAAAGUGUGGGUAUCAAACAGGAUUAGAUACCCGUGUAGUC
rnacentral:rRNA from 1 species